rnacentral:rRNA from 1 species
GACGGGGGCCCGCACAAGCGGUGGAGUAUGUGGUUUAAUUCGAUGCAACGCGAAGAACCUUACCAGGGAUUGACAUCCUACGAAUCUUCUUGAAAGGGAAGAGUGCCUUCGGGAACGUAGAGACAGGUGGUGCAUGGCUGUCGUCAGCUCGUGUCGUGAGAUGUUGGGUUAAGUCCCGCAACGAGCGCAACCCUCGUCCUUAGUUGCCAUCAUUAAGUUGGGCACUUUAAGGAGACUGCCGGUGACAAACCGGAGGAAGGUGGGGAUGACGUCAAGUCAUCAUGCCCCUUACAUCCUGGGCUACACACGUACUACAAUGCAACGGACAAAGGGCAGCCAACUAGCGAUAGUGCGCAAAUCCCAUAAACCGUUGCUCAGUUCAGAUUGCAGGCUGCAACUCGCCUGCAUGAAGGCGGAAUCGCUAGUAAUCGCAGGUCAGCAUACUGCGGUGAAUACGUUCCCGGGCCUUGUACACACCGCCCGUCACACCAUGGAAGUUGGCCACGCCCGAAGUCGUUACCCCAACCGUUUACGGAGGGGGACGCCGAAGGCAGGGCUGAUGACUGGGGUGAAGUCGUAACAAGGUAACC